AACGCACGAGACCUGCGGACCUGCGGAGGGAUCAUUAAUGAGAAGCUGCCCCUCGUGGGUAGGCCUCCCACCCUCUGUGAACUUACCUUUGUUGCUUUGGCAGGCCCGUCCUCUGGACCGCCGGCUUCGGCUGGCCCGUGCCUGCCAGAGGAUUCCAAACCCUGUCUGUCAGUGUUGUCUGAGUCUAUAUGAAAUCGUUAAAACUUUUAGCAACGGAUCUCUAGAUCGGAAGAGCACACG
rnacentral:misc_RNA from 1 species